ACGGGUGAGUAACGCGUGAGUAACCUGCCUCUCAGAGGGGGAUAACGUUCUGAAAAGGACGCUAAUACCGCAUGACAUCCCGGGGCCGCAUGGUCCUGGGAUCAAAGGAGCAAUCCGCUGAGAGAUGGACUCGCGUCCGAUUAGCUAGUUGGUGAGAUAAAGGCCCACCAAGGCGACGAUCGGUAGCCGGACUGAGAGGUUGAACGGCCACAUUGGGACUGAGACACGGCCCAGACUCCUACGGGAGGCAGCAUG
rnacentral:rRNA from 1 species